UACGGAGGAUCCAAGCGUUAUCCGGAUUCAUUGGGUUUAAAGGGUGCGUAGGCGGAAUGAUAAGUCAGUGGUGAAAUCCUGCAGCUUAACUGCAGAACUGCCAUUGAUACUGUCAAUCUUGAGUACAUUUGAUGUGGGCGGAAUGUGUCAUGUAGCGGUGAAAUGCUUAGAUAUGACACAGAACACCGAUUGCGAAGGCAGCGCACAAAGCUGUAACUGACGCUGAGGCACGAAAGCGUGGGUAUCAAACAGG
rnacentral:rRNA from 1 species